UACAUCACAUUUAGUAAUCAAUCAAUCUGCAGUUACGGCAAAAUGAAAUUUAAAUCGGCAUGUGAGCAAUGAGCAUUUCUAAAAUUUGAUGAAUUUCUCUCUGAGAAUCCUAUCGAUGUUCGAAAGCACUUACAUUUGCGGAAGCACUUUCUUCGUUUUGAAGAGACACUUGAUAUAAAUACAGAAAAACUUUUGCACGUUUAAGUGAUGUUAUUGGUGUUUUUUGCAUGUUUUAACUUGAUACAUGACAAAUGAUGAUCAAUGUAUUUGCACAAUAAAAGUGUUUGUUUUGUAUUGCCCUGUUUAAAUAUGUUUGGCAAUAUUGUGGCCCGCGAACAAUGCAAUAAUAAUUCGGACCACUCUGAUCUAAAUGACUGUCACGCCAUAUUUGAAAAUGAGAAAAAUUUUAUUAAAGUUUUAUCACUUAGUUUGCGUUGAGUUGUUGAUGUAUUGUUCAUAGAUGACACCAUGAUUUCAAAGAAUCAUAUUUUAAAACAUAUUUAUGAUUAUAUGUCAUAGGAGAUUGAUAUCGUUUAGAAAAAUCAGGGACGUUCACGUGAACCAUUUACUUUCUGUUCAAGCAGCGUAACGCAAAUUUAACACAAAAUAUCUCAGUAAGAUAUUCUGAAUAUAAUAUAGUCCGCCAUCUUGUUGCACAUACUGCGGGAGCGCCAAAUUUGGUACAUGUGUGAUAAGGAGAACCGAUAUUGGGAUGUACAUCGGCCGGAACAAACAAACCAAAAUCACGAAACACACCUUGUCCUAUAUAAAAUUCACGGCUCGUUGUAAAGGGAGGUUCAAUACAGCAGGCUGAAAUGGACAAAUCGUCGAUAUCAGUGCUCACUAUAGCAAAAGUAAAUUGAAAGCAAUUUCUCGAAAAUUUUCAUUUAGUCGUGUCUCUCGCGCGUUUGAACUACGAGGUAUUAUUUUUUUAAUAUUGAUUUACUUAAUUUUUUGGGGAAGUGUCUAAUUUGUGGGAGACAUCGUGUUAAGUUUAGUUUAUUUAAUUUCGAAAAAUACUGCGCGGGCCACUCGGAACUCUUUGCGGGCCACGGGUUGGACGACCCUGUACAAGGCCAUCGCGCUAUGAAGAAGGAAGCAGCAUUGCAGCGUGGUUUAACUGUAGGUACGGGAACUCGACACAAUCAAGUGAGACAUCUGCACAAUACUACGUAGAAAUUCCUUUUUUCUAAACACUUUUCCAUCUUCAAUUAGUCAAUAUAGGUGUAUUUGUAGAGAUAUGAAAAAUAUUUGAGGGGAAGGGGUAAAUUUAAUGAAUUUGAAAUUUGCGAAGAAGUAAAUGAGAGAAUAAAAGUUGAGAACUUUGGCCAUACAGAUAUACAAAGAUGGACGAAUUAGUGUGGAGCUUAAAUUCGAUAACAACAAACAAAAGCGGGUUAGAUCUCUGGUUAAUUUUCGCAUUGAAUUUUCAUUCGCAAUGAUUAGAAUGUGAGAAAUCUGAUGCUAGGGUCCACCAGGUCAAAACGGCAAAAGUUUUUAACGCUCGUUUCCUGAAACUUAAUGAUCAUUAACCUAAAUUUUGAAUCAGGCAAUGUUCACGAACUCGGAAGUUAAAAAAUGCCGCGUGAUAUUGGUAGUCUGGUAGUCUAUUCAUCAAUUUGAAUCGAUUAGAACGCUUAUAGACAUUCACUUGCACAAGAGUCUCAUUUAGCUAAAUAAAGUCGAGGCUUGAUAAAAGAGUUAUCAAGAUCAAGGGAUGAAUGUCAAAAUUAUCGCUAUCAUUUGUCUUCUGAAGGCUUCUGCUGCAACUAGGGCAAAAGGAGAUGGUGUUUGUGUGGGGAAGUGGAGAAACGGACGUUUCGUCUUAGAAGGCGAUUGUCAAAAUCCUGACUCUUCUGAUGUCAUUGCUCAACUCAAGCGAAACGUUGCUGAUGCUAAAGCAAGAGGUGAUGUAGUAUGAAUUGCCUACUUUUGAAUACUGAAUAUUUUAUGUACUCUCUCCAAGUUUGGUCAACUUUCACUUACAAGUGUGUCAAAUUAGCCGCAAUUUUAAACAUUAGAGCUUAUUUAAAGGGCUUUAGAUUAUUCCAAAAUACAACUCAGUCGGGUAUUACAAAAACUCAUUAGAAUAUAUUUGGACGCUUUAAAACGACUCCAACACAGUAUAUUAUUUUCUAUUUAACACACCACUGCGUAUAUCAAGACGGAGUUCGGAGUCCGUCCGCAAUCUGCGAAUAUUAGCGCAUUCUUAUUUACCUGGUACCUGGCAAGCAACGGCUUCUAUUACAAACUUUUUGAAGAUCGUCUAGAUUACGAAAAAGCUAAGACAAACUGUCAGAAAUUUAGCGCAAAUCUUGCCUCUGUAGGAUUGCGGGAUUCUAAAGUUCGAAGGUGAGGGUGAAAAUUUUAACGACAGAUAAAACCAAUGGCAACGCCUGAAAACAGUGAAUAAGGAUCACAUAACUAGAUCUACGGCACGGAAGAAAAACUGUAAUAUUCGAAAAUCAGUGCCCAUAAGUAAAAACUAGGAUAGAAAAUAUUCAUCAUCAUUCAUUUUCGUUGAUAUUCCGAAACUAUUGAAGCGUUGUUCAUUUUACAGGGAUCUAAUAAAGAUAUUACUGAAAAACUUGAAAAGUGAUGAACAGGUAUGGAUUGGUGUGGAUGAUAUUGAAACCGAAGGUCAGUUUAUCUGGGCAGAUGAUGUGAUUGCAAACCCUCAAUCUACUGAUUGGUGGUGAGCCCAAUGAUUACGGCGGGAAUGAAGAUUGUGGAACGUUAGCACAAGGAAUUGGGUGGAAAAUGAAUGACUCUCCGUGCGAUCAUUCAUAUGCAUAUUUGUGCGAAAGACAAUUAAACUAGUUUCUGUUAUUCAUUUAAAUCACAGUAUUUUAAUUUGCGUUGGUAUUAACUAUUAUUAUGAUCAUUUCUGUCAAAUUUGAUUUUGAUUACAUCGAUUAUAUAUCUAAAAUGACUGAAUAUUCCAAAUAAACUUUUCAAAAAUUA